GGAGUCCUCCUAGUCCUCCCUGCCCACCAUUCUGACUCACACAUGCAUGCUUGAGUUGAUCCUAGCACGCACGUGCUGUUGAGAAGCGACGAGGAGAGGACGACGCGAGUGUUGCCUGCCUGUUGCUGCUGCUCCGAGUCCCACCAAGGGAAGAAGAUCUGCUUGGCCAGCACAACAACAUCACCACCACCAACAACAACAACAAAGUUUUCACAGGAGGAUCAGGUGCCUCAGUGAAUUUCUUGAAUAAGUGCCUCAGUGGUCUUAGCUGGCUAAUUAAUUGAAACCUGUUCUAGACAAGGCUGAAGUAUUUUUGGUGGAUCACUCUGUAUACCUUUGAAUAUGGCCUGGAGAUCGGAACUAAUGCAAAAACUCCUUAUGGUGGUGGAUGUAGUGACAAUAUUACAUCACUUUCAGCAAAGCUGCUGGAGCUGCUAAUAAUAUUGCAGCCUGCUGAGAUAAAAUCUCUUAGAUUCAAGCCAACUUGGACUCCACUGUUGCUGCAGAAUCAAUGGCCAUAAUCAUUGAAAAGUACCAGUAAUUGCUUGCCACAAGAACUGCAUGUGAUGCCAUAUGGAUGGAGCAGCCAAGAAGACAAAAGUAUAUGUGGCUUCUGCUAAAGAAUCGAGGCAGGAGGCCAAGUUGUGUUCCACACUAUCGUUUGUUUGAAAAAUCCUUUUCCAGAACGUAUUUUCUCAAAAAUAAAUAAAUAGGAAUAUAGGUUUUUAAAUGCCCUUAUCUGGCAUAAUUCAGCAUAACUGCUGAUCUCGACUACUUGACUCCAUUCUACCCUUAUUUGCACGUCAUGAAUUGGAGCUUCAGAAUGUUGACAGUUAGGUAUGCCAUUAAAUGAAUCAAAAUCCACAUGCUCGUUCAGGAGUGUCGCAGUUCCAUGUUACUUCCCAUCAUGUCACCACAAGCCCUCACAAGUCACUGUCAACUAAAGUGAUAUAAUUUUGUAAAUGGACAUUCUGGCAACUUCAUGCACACUCUGUAAAGUGCUAGCUCCUUGUAUGUGGCAGAAUGCUUUUUCCCUUCAAGACGGAAAAGGGUAUAAAACAGAGCUCAAUAGCAAGUAGUUGGGCACCCCCUAGUGAAGACAAGGUGCUCUGAGAGGGGAAAUACACCUCACAGGAUUCACAAGCUUAGAAGUAAGGAAGAUGCAGAAGUGUCUGAACAUAAAACAAACAAUUCUAACAAUGACUAAGCCGAAUAAUCAUGAAAUAUUAGACAGAAAAGCUUGAAAAAUGAUACUUUUGUGAAUAACUCUCUUAUAGACAGAUGUCUGCAGCCUCAAACACUGCCUCCAUUUCCACACUGUUCACAGCAGCAUGGGGACAAAGGGACAAGGAGAGAUGGCAGUUCCAGACCAGGGCACCCUCAGGUCACCCCUUGCCCCCUCCAGCACCCAGCAAGUGAAUAAAGGGCUCACAGGCUGAGAGCUCAAGGCGCUCCCCUUUCCUGCCCAGCUGGCUGGCUAGGGGCUUCUUUCCCUGCCUCGCUCCCAGUGAGGGAGAGAAAGAAACCACCCACCAGCCAGUGCUGGAACAUGCUGACUGCAGAGGAUUGGGAGGGAGAGAGUCCCUCAUCCAGGUAGUGCCCACAGCCCCUGCAUCAAAUCAGACUUAAGGGGCCUGUUCCUGAUUCUCCCCAGUCAGCACUGCAUUCUAGCCUGGCUGGGAGUUCUUUCCUCUGACUUGUGAGGGAUAGCUCCCAGCCAGGCUGGAACAUGGUGCUGAGUGGGAGGAAAUAGGGUGGAGCACCCCAUUCCCGAUUCUGGCCACAUUCUUGUGUGGUGUUUCUGGUUAAUCCAUUCCUUGCUUCAGUUGGUAUUAGUUUUUUUAUUAUUAUUUUAUUGUUUGUUUAUUAUUAUUUUUGUUAUUUAAUUUAGUAUUAUUCAGCUUUUUAGUCCAGUCCUGGACUGGAGGACAAAC